GAAAAAUCAUACCACCACCUGACGGGACCAAUUUGACUUUUUUAAAUGGAUCGACUGCGAAUAUAAACUGGUCAUUUGAUAGUGAUAUAUCUACAGUGCUUUAUCGGGCUUGGUAUUUCAAAAGCAGUGAUGGUUCAUUCAAUGCAAUACGAAUUGCAAGUAUAUUUUAUAAUGGAAAGCCUGAAAUAGUUGUAACCGGCUUAUGUGGAGUUACAAUAAUAAAGCCAGCAACCUUGAUUUUAAAAAAUGUUAAUCAAUCUUAUAGUGGGACGUACUCGUUUAGGAUCUUUUUAGAAACGAGCAGCAGUUUUGCUACAUCUGACGUUUUCAUCUUUAUUGCAAGUAAGUUU